rnacentral:rRNA from 1 species
CACGCCGUAAACGAUGAAUACUAAGUGUUGGAGAAAUUCAGUGCUGCAGUUAACGCAAUAAGUAUUCCGCCUGGGGAGUAUGCACGCAAGUGUGAAACUCAAAGGAAUUGACGGGACCCC